CCUACGGGUGGCAGCAGUGGGGAAUAUUGCACAAUGGGCGCAAGCCUGACGCAGCCAUGCCGCGUGUGUGAAGAAGGCCUUCGGGUUGUAAAGCACUUUCAGCGGGGAGGAAGGCGUUAAGGUUAAUAACCUUAGCGAUUGACGUUACCCGCAGAAGAAGCACCGGCUAACUCCGUGCCAGCAGCCGCGGUAAUACGGAGGGUGCAAGCGUUAACCGGAAUUACUGGGCGUAAAGCGCACGCAGGCGGUCUGUCAAGUCGGAUGUGAAGUCCCCGGGCUCAACCUGGGAACUGCAUUCGAAACUGGCAGGCUAGAGUCUUGUAGAGGGGGGUAGAAUUCCAAGUGUAGCGGUGAAAUGCGUAGAGAUCUGGAGGAAUACCGGUGGCGAAGGCGGCCCCUGGACAAAGACUGACGCUCAGGUGCGAAAGCGUGGGGAGCAAACAGGAUUAGAUACCCGGGUAGUC
rnacentral:rRNA from 1 species